GCAGUCGAGCGAGACCUUCGGGUCUAGCGGCGGACGGGUGAGUAACGCGUGGGAACGUGCCCUUUGCUACGGAAUAGUCCCGGGAAACUGGGUUUAAUACCGUAUGUGCCCUUCGGGGGAAAGAUUUAUCGGCAAAGGAUCGGCCCGCGUUGGAUUAGGUAGUUGGUGGGGUAAUGGCCUACCAAGCCGACGAUCCAUAGCUGGUUUGAGAGGAUGAUCAGCCACACUGGGACUGAGACACGGCCCAGACUCCUACGGGAGGCAGCAGUGGGGAAUCUUAGACAAUGGGGGCAACCCUGAUCUAGCCAUGCCGCGUGAGUGAUGAAGGCCUUAGGGUUGUAAAGCUCUUUCAGCUGGGAAGAUAAUGACGGUACCAGCAGAAGAAGCCCCGGCUAACUCCGUGCCAGCAGCCGCGGUAAUACGGAGGGGGCUAGCGUUGUUCGGAAUUACUGGGCGUAAAGCGCACGUAGGCGGACUGGAAAGUUGGGGGUGAAAUCCCGGGGCUCAACCUCGGAACUGCCUUCAAAACUAUCAGUCUGGAGUUCGAGAGAGGUGAGUGGAAUACCGAGUGUAGAGGUGAAAUUCGUAGAUAUUCGGUGGAACAC
rnacentral:rRNA from 1 species